rnacentral:rRNA from 1 species
GUGAACGUUGCCAACUGUUGCCUCGGCGGGGUCACGCCCCGGGUGCGUAAAAGCCCCGGAACCAGGCGCCCGCCGGAGGAACCAACCAAACUCUUUCUGUAGUCCCCUCGCGGACGUAUUUCUUACAGCUCUGAGCAAAAAUUCAAAAUGAAUCAAAACUUUCAACAACGGAUCUCUUGGUUCUGGCAUCGAUGAAGAACGCAGCGAAAUGCGAUAAGUAAUGUGAAUUGCAGAAUUCAGUGAAUCAUCGAAUCUUUGAACGCACAUUGCGCCCGCCAGUAUUCUGGCGGGCAUGCCUGUCCGAGCGUCAUUUCAACCCUCGAACCCCUCCGGGGGAUCGGCGUUGGGGAUCGGGACCCCUCACCGGGUGCCGGCCCUGAAAUACAGUGGCGGUCUCGCCGCAGCCUCUCCUGCGCAGUAGUUUGCACAACUCGCACCGGGAGCGCGGCGCGUCCACGUCCGUAAAACACCCAACUUCUGAAAUGUUGACCUCGGAUCAGGUAGGAAUACCCGCUGAACUUAAGCAUAUCAAUAAGCGGAGG